rnacentral:lncRNA from 1 species
GUUGAAGGCGGGUGUCGAAGCUUCUUUCUAUGAUCUGCGCCUUUUCCAGGACUGCCGAAUAUGUCUCGAGCUCCAUCACCAGUAAGUGCUGUCUGAUCUCCGGGCGGAGACCCCACUGGAAUUUCCUGGCCUUCCGGCCCUCAUCCAACAAUGUCUCCGGGGCAUGUCGGCCCAGCUCCAGGAACUUACGGGCAUACUCCGACACUGUCAUAUUCCCCUGGACCAAUUGAGCAAAUUCCAUUUCCUUUAGAUGUUGGAUGUGUUUAGGGAGAUACUCCGCAUGGAAGGCCGCUAGGAACUGCUCCCAAGUAACUGGUGCAGGCAGGGUGGCCCGCUUGAGCUCCCAUCAGCGUACUGCUUCCCCUACCAGCAUGUAGGAGGCAAUGGCAGCCCUCUGCUCAGGAACUACUCCCAAGGUCUCGAAAGCUCUCUCAGUCUCUGCCAGCCAGUAUUGGGCCUCUUCGAAAGAGGAUCCCCCUGAAAAAGUAGAAGGGUUCAGUCUUCUGUACCUCUCUAUGAAGCCGGGGUCGAUCAAGGAAGGAGCGGGGUCCCGAGGUAGAGGGACCGGGGCCGGCUGAGGGUGAACUGGGGGACCCUGUGGUGGCGCCUGCUGAUGUGGUGGGGGCACUGGAAUGUGUUGUGGCAGCACCUGUUGGUACUGUGGCUGUGGUACCGGGUCGUACCGCGGCUGUGGUGCCGGGUGGUACUGUGGAGGAACAGGCUCCUGCCGGGGUGGAAUGUGGUCAGCCUGCUGUAGCGGGGGCUCAACCUGCGCUAGUGGAGGAGGUCUCGGUAACUCCCUUCUCUCCUCUUGCCUUCGCUGGGCAGCUGCGAGAGCCUCCACAAUCUCGAAUAGUCUAUCUAAAUCCUCCCGAAGUGAAUU